GACGGGGCCCGCACAAGCGGUGGAGUAUGUGGUUUAAUUCGAUGCAACGCGAAGAACCUUACCUGGUCUUGACAUCCCAGAAAUCCCUUGGAAACUUGGGAGUGCUUCAUUAGGAAGAAUCUGGAGACAGGUGCUGCAUGGCUGUCGUCAGCUCGUGUCGUGAGAUGUUGGGUUAAGUCCCGCAACGAGCGCAACCCUUGCCUUUAGUUGCCAGCAGUUCGGCUGGGCACUCUAAAGGGACUGCCGGUGUUAAACCGGAGGAAGGUGGGGAUGACGUCAAGUCCUCAUGGCCUUUAUGACCAGGGCUACACACGUACUACAAUGGCCGAUACAAAGGGCAGCGACAUUGCGAAAUGAAGCCAAUCCCAUAAAUUCGGUCUCAGUCCGGAUUGGAGUCUGCAACUCGACUCCAUGAAGUUGGAAUCGCUAGUAAUCGUGGAUCAGCAUGCCACGGUGAAUACGUUCCCGGGCCUU
rnacentral:rRNA from 1 species